UACAGAGGAGCCAAGCGUUGUCCGGAUUGACUGGGCGUAAAGCGCACGCAGGCGGUCGGGCGCGUGGGGUGUGAAAUCUGGCCGCUUAACGGCCAGGCGCCAUCCCAUACGGCUCGACUGGAGUGAUGCAGAGGUCGAUGGAAUUGCCGGUGUAGUGGUGAAAUGCGUAGAUAUCGGUAGGAACACCAGUGGCGAAGGCGGUCUCCUGGGGCAUUCUUGACGCUGAGGCGCGAAAGCUGGGGGAGCAAACGGG
rnacentral:rRNA from 1 species